ACGCUAGCUGACCAUGCAGUCGACGCUGAGCUCCAGCUUGCUGGGGUGGAUGAGUGGCGAACGGGUGAGUAAUACGUGAGUAACCUGCCCUUGACUCUGGGAUAAGCCUGGGAAACCGGGUCUAAUACUGGAUACGACGUCCUACCGCAUGGUGGGGCGUGGAAAGGGUUUUACUGGUUUUGGAUGGGCUCACGGCCUAUCAGCUUGUUGGUGGGGUAAUGGCCUACCAAGGCGACGACGGGUAGCCGGCCUGAGAGGGUGACCGGCCACACUGGGACUGAGACACGGCCCAGACUCCUACGGGAGGCAGCAGUGGGGAAUAUUGCACAAUGGGCGCAAGCCUGAUGCAGCGACGCCGCGUGAGGGAUGACGGCCUUCGGGUUGUAAACCUCUUUCAGCAGGGAAGAAGCCACAAGUGACGGUACCUGCAGAAGAAGCGCCGGCUAACUACGUGCCAGCAGCCGCGGUAAUACGUAGGGCGCAAGCGUUGUCCGGAAUUAUUGGGCGUAAAGAGCUCGUAGGCGGUUUGUCGCGUCUGCUGUGAAAGCCCGGGGCUCAACCCCGGGUCUGCAGUGGGUACGGGCAGACUAGAGUGCAGUAGGGGAGACUGGAAUUCCUGGUGUAGCGGUGAAAUGCGCAGAUAUCAGGAGGAACACCGAUGGCGAAGGCAGGUCUCUGGGCUGUUACUGACGCUGAGGAGCGAAAGCAUGGGGAGCGAACAGGAUUAGAUACCCUGGUAGUCCAUGCCGUAAACGUUGGGCACUAGGUGUGGGGGACAUUCCACGUUCUCCGCGCCGUAGCUAACGCAUUAAGUGCCCCGCCUGGGGAGUACGGCCGCAAGGCUAAAACUCAAAGGAAUUGACGGGGGCCCGCACAAGCGGCGGAGCAUGCGGAUUAAUUCGAUGCAACGCGAAGAACCUUACCAAGGCUUGACAUCCACCGGACCGCACUGGAGACAGUGCUUCCCUUCGGGGCUGGUGG
rnacentral:rRNA from 1 species